GGCGAGCGAACGGGGAGCAGCCCAGAGCCUGAAUCAGUGUGUGUGUUAGUGGAAGCGUCUGGAAAGGCGCGCGAUACAGGGUGACAGCCCCGUACACAAAAAUGCACAUACUGUGAGCUCGAUGAGUAGGGCGGGACACGUGGUAUCCUGUCUGAAUAUGGGGGGACCAUCCUCCAAGGCUAAAUACUCCUGACUGACCGAUAGUGAACCAGUACCGUGAGGGAAAGGCGAAAAGAACCCCGGCGAGGGGAGUGAAAAAGAACCUGAAACCGUGUACGUACAAGCAGUGGGAGCCUCUUUAUGGGGUGACUGCGUACCUUUUGUAUAAUGGGUCAGCGACUUAUAUUCUGUAGCAAGGUUAACCGAAUAGGGGAGCCGAAGGGAAACCGAGUCUUAACUGGGCGUUAAGUUGCAGGGUAUAGACCCGAAACCCGGUGAUCUAGCCAUGGGCAGGUUGAAGGUUGGGUAACACUAACUGGAGGACCGAACCGACUAAUGUUGAAAAAUUAGCGGAUGACUUGUGGCUGGGGGUGAAAGGCCAAUCAAACCGGGAGAUAGCUGGUUCUCCCCGAAAGCUAUUUAGGUAGCGCCUCGUGAAUUCAUCUCCGGGGGUAGAGCACUGUUUCGGCAAGGGGGUCAUCCCGACUUACCAACCCGAUGCAAACUGCGAAUACCGGAGAAUGUUAUCACGGGAGACACACGGCGGGUGCUAACGUCCGUCGUGAAGAGGGAAACAACCCAGACCGCCAGCUAAGGUCCCAAAGUCAUGGUUAAGUGGGAAACGAUGUGGGAAGGCCCAGACAGCCAGGAUGUUGGCUUAGAAGCAGCCAUCAUUUAAAGAAAGCGUAAUAGCUCACUGGUCGAGUCGGCCUGCGCGGAAGAUGUAACGGGGCUAAACCAUGCACCGAAGCUGCGGCAGCGACGCUUAUGCGUUGUUGGGUAGGGGAGCGUUCUGUAAGCCUGCGAAGGUGUACUGUGAGGUAUGCUGGAGGUAUCAGAAGUGCGAAUGCUGACAUAAGUAACGAUAAAGCGGGUGAAAAGCCCGCUCGCCGGAAGACCAAGGGUUCCUGUCCAACGUUAAUCGGGGCAGGGUGAGUCGACCCCUAAGGCGAGGCCGAAAGGCGUAGUCGAUGGGAAACAGGUUAAUAUUCCUGUACUUGGUGUUACUGCGAAGGGGGGACGGAGAAGGCUAUGUUGGCCGGGCGACGGUUGUCCCGGUUUAAGCGUGUAGGCUGGUUUUCCAGGCAAAUC
rnacentral:rRNA from 1 species